rnacentral:rRNA from 1 species
AAAGGCGCUUUCGGGUGUCGCUGAUGGAUGGACCCGCGGUGCAUUAGCUAGUUGGUGAGGUAACGGCUCACCAAGGCCACGAUGCAUAGCCGACCUGAGAGGGUGAUCGGCCACAUUGGGACUGAGACACGGCCCAAACUCCUACGGGAGGCAGCAGUAGGGAAUCUUCGGCAAUGGACGAAAGUCUGACCGAGCAACGCCGCGUGAGUGAAGAAGGUUUUCGGAUCGUAAAACUCUGUUGUUAGAGAAGAACAAGGAUGAGAGUAACUGUUCAUCCCUUGACGGUAUCUAACCAGAAAGCCACGGCUAACUACGUGCCAGCA